GGCCCCGUAGCUCAGCGGAUAGAGCAUCAGAUUCCUAAUCUGAGGGUCGCAGGUUCAAGUCCUGCCGGGGUCA
rnacentral:tRNA from 1 species